rnacentral:tRNA from 3 species
GGAGGGGUGGUCGAGUGGUUGAUGGCUCCGGUCUUGAAAACCGGCGAGGUGAAAGCCUCCGUGGGUUCGAAUCCCACCCCCUCCG